rnacentral:rRNA from 1 species
CAUAGGUUAAUGAGGCGAACCGGGGGAACUGAAACAUCUAAGUACCCCGAGGAAAAGAAAUCAACCGAGAUUCCCCCAGUAGCGGCGAGCGAACGGGGAGCAGCCCAGAGCCUGAAUCAGUGUGUGUGUUAGUGGAAGCGUCUGGAAAGGCGCGCGAUACAGGGUGACAGCCCCGUACACAAAAAUGCACAUACUGUGAGCUCGAUGAGUAGGGCGGGACACGUGGUAUCCUGUCUGAAUAUGGGGGGACCAUCCUCCAAGGCUAAAUACUCCUGACUGACCGAUAGUGAACCAGUACCGUGAGGGAAAGGCGAAAAGAACCCCGGCGAGGGGAGUGAAAAAGAACCUGAAACCGUGUACGUACAAGCAGUGGGAGCACGCUUAGGCGUGUGACUGCGUACCUUUUGUAUAAUGGGUCAGCGACUUAUAUUCUGUAGCAAGGUUAACCGAAUAGGGGAGCCGAAGGGAAACCGAGUCUUAACUGGGCGUUAAGUUGCAGGGUAUAGACCCGAAACCCGGUGAUCUAGCCAUGGGCAGGUUGAAGGUUGGGUAACACUAACUGGAGGACCGAACCGACUAAUGUUGAAAAAUUAGCGGAUGACUUGUGGCUGGGGGUGAAAGGCCAAUCAAACCGGGAGAUAGCUGGUUCUCCCCGAAAGCUAUUUAGGUAGCGCCUCGUGAAUUCAUCUCCGGGGGUAGAGCACUGUUUCGGCAAGGGGGUCAUCCCGACUUACCAACCCGAUGCAAACUGCGAAUACCGGAGAAUGUUAUCACGGGAGACACACGGCGGGUGCUAACGUCCGUCGUGAAGAGGGAAACAACCCAGACCGCCAGCUAAGGUCCCAAAGUCAUGGUUAAGUGGGAAACGAUGUGGGAAGGCCCAGACAGCCAGGAUGUUGGCUUAGAAGCAGCCAUCAUUUAAAGAAAGCGUAAUAGCUCACUGGUCGAGUCGGCCUGCGCGGAAGAUGUAACGGGGCUAAACCAUGCACCGAAGCUGCGGCAGCGACGCUGAUGCGUUGUUGGGUAGGGGAGCGUUCUGUAAGCCUGUGAAGGUGUGCUGUGAGGCAUGCUGGAGGUAUCAGAAGUGCGAAUGCUGACAUAAGUAACGAUAAAGCGGGUGAAAAGCCCGCUCGCCGGAAGACCAAGGGUUCCUGUCCAACGUUAAUCGGGGCAGGGUGAGUCGACCCCUAAGGCGAGGCCGAAAGGCGUAGUCGAUGGGAAACAGGUUAAUAUUCCUGUACUUGGUGUUACUGCGAAGGGGGGACGGAGAAGGCUAUGUUGGCCGGGCGACGGUUGUCCCGGUUUAAGCGUGUAGGCUGGUUUUCCAGGCAAAUCCGGAA